GGGUAUAGCUCAGUGGUAGAGUACAUGAUUAGCAUGCACGAGGUCCUGGGUUCAAGCCCCAGUACUUCCU
rnacentral:tRNA from 1 species